AUCGCUUCUCAGCCUUUUGGCUAAGAUCAAGUGUAGUAUCAAAUAAAUAGAUAAAUCUAUAUAAAAAAGAAAUGGUUAGUCAAGGGUUUCCAAACAAAAACUCCCAGUUAAAAAUGUUGAUCUCAUGGGAGAACAGGUA
ensembl:snRNA U2 U2 spliceosomal RNA